CUGCCGCGGACAUGAUGGGCCCGGGGCGCAGCGCGCGCGCGGCGCCCGAUAGGUGGCAGCCGAGAGCGAGGCCCCGGGGCUCCAGAGGCGCCGCCGAGCCCCCUAGGCUGUCAGUCUAGGAGACAGAGGAGUCUAGGACCACGUGCGUAACGCGAGCGUGGGAGUGUGCGGUGCUCGUGUUGGAGAAGGGAGGAAUGGAAAUAACCCCGACAGCGCCAGGCUUGGCGGUGGUCAGGGACAGAUGACUGCAGCCCUGCGCUGCUCGCCGGCUCUUCUGCCGUUUAGCGCAAUAGAGCCCUUGCUGCGGUCUCCCUACCUACCCUAAAGGAUCCUGGAAGAGGGAGUGGUUCGUCCGAGCUGUAGAGAGGGAGCUACUUUUAUUUUUAAGAAUUACGUUUGUAUAAGUACGAUCGGGCAGUUCAAGGGAGGGCGAACGACUUGCAGGAAAAAAAAAAUGUGAAUGCAUUUGGUAUGAGCUAAAAGCUGGAAAAGCCCCAAAUAGAGGCAGUAUGGAUAGAAAGCAAGUUUGUUGAAGAGUCACCUGCUAAACUUCACUAGCGUCGUCUCUACAAGUGAUCUGUGCUGUCUGGGCCUGCCUUGCAGUUGAACCUGGAUUUGAAACUGACAACUAUGAACGAAUAGGAAAAUGUUGCAGCAGGAGCUGCCACGUCUGAAGAAAAUUCAAAGAAAGGUCUAUUCGGGCAGUGGUGGCUUUUCAUGGAUUUACUGAACCAACGAAGGACCCACUUCCAAGAGGGCUGUUAUGCUUUCCAUGGAUUUAUAAGAAAUGCCUGCCUGUGUGACUGUGCCAAAGUAAACUUGGGAUUUCUCGCUACCGGAAACAUUCCGGAGGAUGAGGCUCUGCAAGUCCGGAAGUAAGGAGAAAAGAUGGAGCAGACAAUGCUCACUGCUGGCCAUUAGAUGAAAGACAAAUGGUGAUACAUAAGUGCAAGACAAAGAAAUGAGAAGGUUGAAUUGAAUCAGGCAAGUACAAUUAUGAAUUUAUGGAUUUCUAAGAUGUAACAUAUAUAUAUAUGUGUGUGUGCAGG
rnacentral:lncRNA from 1 species